UACGUAGGGGGCAAGCGUUGUCCGGAAUCAUUGGGCGUAAAGAGCGUGUAGGCGGUCCGGUAAGUCGGCUGUGAAAGUCCAGGGCUCAACCCUGGGAUGCCGGUCGAUACUGCCGGGCUAGAGUUCGGAAGAGGCGAGUGGAAUUCCCGGUGUAGCGGUGAAAUGCGCAGAUAUCGGGAGGAACACCUAUGGCGAAGGCAGCUCGCUGGGACGUUACUGACGCUGAGACGCGAAAGCGUGGGGAGCAAACAGG
rnacentral:rRNA from 1 species